rnacentral:lncRNA from 1 species
UCCCCUUACAUUUUUCUUGCCAAUGAUAUACAUACCCUAUGAACUUGGAGACAUUCUUGACACUGAAAGUAGCUGAGGCAUGCAUCAUUUUGCAAACACAAUGAUGAGAUUGAGAUACGAUGCACAUUUCACAUUUUCCACCUUAUUAUAAUGCAAUUUUAAAUUAUAGAUACAAAAUUCUUUACUGAUAAUGAUAACCACCCCAACCUAAGGACGGCUCGGUAUAAAUUAAUACAACUU